rnacentral:rRNA from 1 species
AGUGAACGCUGGCGGCAGGCCUAAUACAUGCAAGUCGAACGGCAGCACAGCAGAGCUUGCUCUGUGGGUGGCGAGUGGCGGACGGGUGAGGAAUACAUGGGAAUCUGCCCAGUCGUGGGGGAUAACGUAGGGAAACUUACGCUAAUACCGCAUGCGCCCUUCGGGGGAAAGCCGGGGACCUUCGGGCCUGGCGCGAUUGGAUGAGCCCAUGUCGGAUUAGCUAGUUGGCGGGGUAACGGCCCACCAAGGCGACGAUCCGUAGCUGGUCUGAGAGGAUGAUCAGCCACACUGGAACUGAGACACGGUCCAGACUCCUACGGGAGGCAGCAGUAGGGAAUAUUGGACAAUGGGCGCAAGCCUGAUCCAGCCAUGCCGCGUGAGUGAAGAAGGCCUUCGGGUUGUAAAGCUCUUUUGUCCGGAAAGAAAAGCAUCCAGUUAAUACCUGGGUGUCCUGACAGUACCGGAAGAAUAAGCACCGGCUAACUUCGUGCCAGCCGCCGCAGUAAAAC